GCCAGGUAUAGUAGUGCAUGCCUGUAGUCCCAGCUACUUGGGAGGCAGAGGCAGGAGGAUCACUUGAGCCCAGGAGUUCGAGGUUGCAAUGAGCUGUGAUCACACCACUGCACUCCAGCCUGGGCAACAGAGCAAGAUCCUGUCUCUU
ensembl:misc_RNA Metazoa_SRP Metazoan signal recognition particle RNA